UCUAAAAAUAAACAAACAAAUACAUGUACAGGCCUCCUCACCCUGUUACAUAUCCCCCUCUUUGUGCGCUGCACACCUGGCCCCAGCGGCCACCUCCCCCCUCAGUCCCAAAGUUCCGGAAGCAGGGGAGCAAAGUGUCCAUGGUGGCGGCCAUGGCGGGAGGUCCUCCUCCCACCGAAACAGCCCAAGCGUCCCGGUGGACCGCGAACAAGCUGGCUCCUCCAGUCAGAAGUGACCCCAGGAGAAGCAAAGGACACAGCCACCCCAGGCGAAGCGGGACCCUCAGCAAUCCCAGGAAAUAUAAAAGAGACACAGGCCGCCCAGGCGACGCGGAGUAGCAAGCUGCCCCAGAUUAGGACAUAUGACUGCAUUGUCAAUGUCACCGUUGACCUGUUGGUGGCAGCAGCAUGUUACAAAUCCAUUAAGAACACAAGCAGCACAGUGAGUCUGAGGAGCACCUUGGAAUGGGUUUGAUAAAACCUGGAAAUUAAAAACUCAUCUGCAGCCUCUAGAGCUCUCAAACAUGUCUUCUUUCUGAGUCCAGCUGGUCAAUCAAAGUGUAACAGUCAUUAAAGAAUAUAAACAAACGCA